rnacentral:misc_RNA from 1 species
CUAAAAUCUAUAACAAUCACGUCUCUGUGUUCUCUGUUCCUCUAAUAUCCUCAAUCAUGACGGUCGACGCUUCUAAAAAUCGAGAUGAUCAUGAUGAAAGUCUGAAGAGUUCUUAUUUUAAUUUACCACCGUUGGAUGUUUCCAUUGCAUUCCCUCAAGCAACUCCAGCAUCUAUAUUUCCUCCCUGCGCUUCCGACUAUUAUCACUUUGAUGACUUAUUGACUCCUGAGGAGCAGGCGAUUAGAAUGAAAGUAAGGCAAUGUAUGGAAAAGGAAGUAGCUCCUAUAAUGGCAGAGUACUGGGAGAAGGNNNNNNNNNNNNNUUAUUCCCAAGCUUGGUGCUCUGCAUAUUGCUGGUGGCACAAUCAAGGGUUAUGGGUGUCCUGGUUUGUCCAUCACUGCAAAUGCUGUUGCUAUGGCAGAAGUUGCUAGAGUUGAUGCGAGCUGUUCUACCUUCAUUUUGGUGCAUUCAUCUCUGGCAAUGCUUACCAUUGCAUUUUGUGGGUCAGAGGUACAGAAGCAGAAAUAUUUGCCUUCUUUGGCUCAGUUAGGCACCAUAGCUUGUUGGGCUUUGACUGAGCCUGACUAUGGAAGUGAUGCAAGUGCUCUGAAAACUACAGCUAUGAAGGUGGAAGGAGGAUGGAUACUUGAGGGGCAAAAGCGCUGGAUAGGAAACAGCACCUUUGCAGAUGUUUUAGUCAUAUUUGCCAGGAAUACUUCAACAAAUCAGAUCAAUGGAUUUAUAGUAAAGAAGGAUGCCCCGGGAUUAACAGCCACAAAAAUAGAAAAUAAAAUUGGCUUGCGGAUUGUGCAGAAUGGGGAUAUUCUGUUAAAACAAGUGUUUGUCGCUGAUGAAGACAGGUUACCAGGGGUCAAUUCCUUUCAAGAUACAAAUAAGGUUCUUGCUGUUUCACGCAUAAUGGUUGCUUGGCAACCUAUUGGCAUAUCAAUGGGGGUCUAUGACAUUUGUCACAGGUAUCUAAAAGAGAGGAAACAGUUUGGAGCACCAUUGGCUGCUUUUCAAAUCAACCAACAGAAACUAGUUCUCAUGCUUGGUAACGUUCAAGCAAUGUUUCUUGUUGGUUGGCGCCUUUGCAAGUUGUAUGAAAAGGGUAAAAUGACUCCAGGUCGUGCCAGUAUGGCAAAGGCAUGGAUUACAUUGAGAGCAAGGGAAACAGUUGCUAUUGGGCGGGAGUUGCUUGGCGGCAAUGGAAUUUUAGCUGAUUUUCUAGUUGCUAAGGCAUUCUGUGAUUUGGAACCCAUCUACACAUAUGAAGGCACCUAUGACAUAAACAGCUUGGUAACAGGUAGGGAAGUAACUGGAUUAGCCAGUUUUAAGCCAGCAGCACUGAGCAAACUAAGCCGUCUGUAAGUUAUUGCACAUUAUCUUCCUCAGAGCCCUGCAUGGCAAGUCAACUCGCUUCAUUUCUAUUAAGUUUUGUGUUCCACACAGCACAUUUGUUGCCAUUCAAGCAACUUAAUAAUCUCUAUAAGCGAACAUUGUAGAAUAAAAUCCCUGUAUGGACCAUGGCAUGUGAAAUAAAAAGUUGGUAUCUGGGGAUUUUAUUCUACAAUGUUCGCUUAUA